rnacentral:lncRNA from 1 species
AAAAGAGUUUAUGACUGAUUCCUUGGUACCAUUAAUUUCUAGCCACAAACAUUCUUGCCUACUUACAAAUUGAGCAAAAUCAUAUACUAUGUCAUGCAUCUUGCAACUCAUAAUAUCAUCAUCGUCAUAAUAUUUUUCAAACUCUUGAAAGAAAGAGCGUGUUGCUAAGAUGUUGAAAUACUCUUCUCCAAUCAUCUCCAUUUCUUCGUCUUCAUCUGCAUUAAGGUAACUUUGAGCCAUCCAUAGAUUAAUCAAUUCCCUUUUAUUCAUAUUGUAGUCUUUUGGAAAGACAGCACAAUAUGAGAAGCACCGUUUUACCAUAGAAUUAGAGGGCAAAUCGUUAUAACUCAACAACAAAGGAGCCAAAAUACCUUGCCCAAUCUCUUCUACUUUCCACAUUUCACUAUCUAAAAUUCUUUGCCACUCUUUUACUAUACUUUUAGAGCGCAAGAGAUUCCCUAUUACCUUUGCAGCAAGAGGCAGGCCUUUGCACUUACAUGCAAUUUUUCGCCAAAUUGGUUCUAAUUUUUCACAAUCCUCAAAGGACCUACGUAGAAAUGCUAUCUACUUAAACAGUAACCAACAUUCCCCUUCACCCAACUCCUUGACAGGGAUAAUAUUUAUUGAUCCCAACUGUAGUGCAACUGACUUAUCACGUGUGGUAAUCCGAAUUUUACUUUCAUGGUGGCCAUUCUUUAGACAAGAAAAGAAUGGGUCCCAUUCUUUAUAAUCUCCAUCCCACACAUCAUCUAAAACAAGAAAAAAUUUCUUCCCCGUAAUAUAUUCCUGAAUCUGUUUCAUAAGAGAUUCGAAUUCGCUUAAACCAGAAGCUGACACGCCUAGACCUUCAAUGAUUGCUUUGGCGACCCUAAUCUCCUCAAAAGUGUCUGAUACACACACCCAUAUAACUUUUUCAAAAUUUAUUUUCACCUCAUCAUUAUUAUAGGCCAGUUGUGCAAGAGUGGUUUUACCUAUACCCCCUAACCCAACUAGAGAGAUGACAUAAAGGCCUUGUUGUUGUUCACUACUUUCACACAACAACUUGCUUAAGAGCUCAUUUUUCUCAUCAACUCUACCGCAAACCUCUCCCUCAUCAAUCAAGGAGGUGGUUCGCACUCGCUCUGGUUUCUUAACAUUGUUGCUCACAUUCUCAACAAAUUUAAACGUAUCGUUUUGGGAGGCAAUAUCAUCUAGCUUUCCAUUGAUUUCCCUAAUCUUGACGGCAAUGUCAUGACGAAGACUAAGUUGUUUGAAACUACCAAAGCAGUUUGAUACAGCACAAAAGAAGGAGCGUACCUUCUUCUUAUGAGGAGCAAGAGCAAGAGCAUUGUCAUCAUCAACGCCCUCAAUCUGCAAUUUGAGCCUUGCAGUGGUCCACUCCUCCAACACGUCUUCCAUGUCGUAAGAUGCAUCUUUGAGCUGAUCCAGCCAAAAAGUAACAGCAUUGUCGCGCUGCAUUUGCCUUUUCUCUGAAUCUUCCAGCACAGCUCGAAUGGCUCGAAGAUUGCUGGCAAGCUUUUUCACUUCUUCUCCGAAACCAGUCACAAGCCUCACGUGUUGUUUCACUUCAUCAGCCGCAACGGAGAUCAGCUGCUCCAGGAGAGAGGAAACGAUCGCAUAAACCAUUCUGACAAAGAAAACGAGAAUUUUGAUGAGUUAUUAGAUGUGCUUUUGUUGCGAAGAUAUGAAAGAAAAGGAGUUAUUGCAUUCUUUUAUACUGCAUAGAAAAUGUUUAUGCUUAUCCCCACCCCACACGUCAAUGAUUGUAGAAUGUUUAAUUUCCCACACGUUAGGAAUUUGGGACAUAAUAAUAAAUAUUCUCAAAUUUGUCGCAUCUUUAACGUAUGAGCACGUGUUUUGUCUAUGUCACUUUUUUUCUAUCUUACUGCAAUAUCAGGUAGAGGAAUUCGAUCAGUUUCCCCAACAGAUGGGAAACGAUGUCAUCAGCCAAUUGAUGUUGGAUUAAAUGCUAAAUGUUACGAUUGCUUUUGUUGCGAAAAUGCUCAAAGAAAAGUGGCUUUUGUGUAUUCUGUGAGAAUGCUCAUUCAAGCAUUUUUGCAUUCUUCUUAUACUACGUGAGGUAUUUAAUUUUUACCCUUGAGUCAAUGUCAAUGUGAAAGCUUUUAUGCUGCAAAUUAAAGAAAUCCCAGACCAAUAAUUGUACAACAUCUGCCCUGUCUCUCUGAUUCAUAAUAAUUAUGCAGACUACUCAGCAUCGGCACUUGUAAAAUUUCUUACAUUAUAAGUAACGAAAUAUUUGUAAACUACCACAAAAAGCUUGGAGCAAUCUACUGAUGAACCUUCUGAAGUUACAUAAAAUAGAAUAAUCUUAGUGUUGGAACAAUUUUAAAAUAAAUGAUGUCUCAUUAUAAAGACAUAUCUAAUUAAUAUAGAAGAGUAAUCUUUUGAUAUUUAAUAAAUAUCAUACUAUGGUCUAUGACUUAGCUCAUACUACAAAGAAAAUAUGUGAAAGAUAAUUAAGGAAUAAAGCUUUCAACAACGAUUUAUAAAAUUGCUUUUGAUAAAACUGUUCUGAUGAAAUGAAAUUAUGUGAAAUUACUAAGAAUUUAAUUAGCCUCUCAAAAAGGUUCAUUGAUUGCUUGACUUCUCAAGUUUAAAAUUCGAAUGUCAAAACAGAUAAAACGUUAAAAAAUUAUUUUGAGUUUUAUCCACCCGUUUACCAUUUUAAUACAUAAAACUCUCCUAUUGCUUUAAAGUAUCAUUUUUUGUUUUAAACAAAAAAUGACACUUUAGUAUCAUAUGUUUGCAAGAUAUUCGGCCAUGAGUGUUGACGGAAAUUUCUUCAUCCUUGAGCGGAAAAUAAAAAGAAAAACAUAGUUCGCAAUUUUAGUAGCGAAACCAAUAUUUUGAUCCAUAUGGGGUAAAUCUUCAGGAGGCCCAACUUCAAACUUAAAAUGUUAGCUGAGGGUUUAAUUUUAGACUGUUUUUCUAUUUAUAGUUAUUAUAUAGUUGUUAGGAAUUUCGAAAUUUUAGAAUUUUGCUUGUAGCUACAGGCUGCAGCGAUUUUAUUUGGCGACUUUGAUUCAUAAUUGAAGUACUGUUGCAAGUAAAAACUAAAAAAAUAAUUAACAAAAUAAAAAUCAAAGACUUAGGCCCAAGUUUUUAUCAAAAUUUUAAUAAAAGGCUAUUUGUCACAUCGUCAUAAUGGAAAAAUAAUUAAUACAAUAAACAAAUCGAGUUACUUGAUUUUAUUUUAAUAAUAUAUAAAUAAAAUUUUUAUUAUAUGUAUAAAUUUUAUAUAUCAAGUUCUUAGGGGUCAAAUCAGUUUUUUUAUACCUAAUUUUUAAUAUUUCACUUCGAAACCUCAAAAUUUUUCAAAGCUUGUAGGGUCAUGAUCCUCACUAGGAGUGGGCAAAUUUGUGUUCAUAUUAACUUAAUCGGGUUUUAGGUUGAUUGGGUUAGAAUAUUCAGAUUGGAUUGUAUCAAAUCAAAAAUUCAAGUUUAGUUUGGAUUGCAUCAGGUUAUAAUUAUAUGGGGAUCAAGUUGGAGUUGGAUUAGCCAACUUGGAUUAAAAUCAAAUUUGGUCAGCUAGGAUGGAUUCAGAUAAUGUUGGGAUUAGGGGUGUUUUUGAGCCUAUUUUGUUUAUUUUCAGUUUUUUUUUAAAUUAUUUUAGUUCUUGAAGAUGGUUUUAUUGUAAUUAUCUCAUUUGAAUUUGUUUUUACCAAUUUUCAACCAAAAAAAAUGAAAACUACUACUAUAAAAUCAAAUGAAUAAAAAUUGAAAUGAACUACUACUAUUAGAUUGGAUCGGAUCCUCAUCUCUUGGCCUUCUUAUACAAUAAGGUAACUUUGAGCCAUCUAUAGUGUAGUUUUCAUUUUUUUUAUUGGUCAUUUAUAUUGUAAGAAUUUCCCUAUUAAUAUUGUUCCCAAUCUCUUCUACCUUCUACAUAUCACUAUCUAAAAUUCUUUUCCAUUCUUCUGUUGGUCAUUUAUAUUGUAAGAAUUUCCCUAUUGCCUUUGCAAUAAGAGGCAGGCCUUGCAUGCAAUUUUUUUUAUCAUUUGGUCACCAUCCUUAAAAAAUUGACCAAAAAAUGCUACUUGCUUAAACAAUGACCAACAUUCUUCUUCAGUUAAUUCCUUAAUAAAAAUAAUAUUUGUUAAUCUCAUCAUGCUUGCUAUUAUCUAAUGAUGUGUAGUAAUCAAAAAAUUGACUACUGUAGAGACCAUUCUUUAAACAAUAGAAGAAUGGUUCCCAUUGAUUGUAACUUCCAUCCCACACGUCAUCUAGGACAAGAAAAAAAAAAAUCUUUCCCUCAUUAGAUUUAUCAAUAUGGUUUACAAGAGAUAACCUAAUAUUUGUCUGUUGCCAUUCUUGCAUUAUAUGCAUACUCCAUGACUUACAAGAUUGCUUCUUUGACCAUCUAUCUGAUAACCUCCAAUGGCAAAGCUAGCAUCAUUUGUUUGGGUGGGCUAGAUUUAAAAAAAAUGAAAUUUACUUCUCAAAAAAUUUGUUUUAUAUAAAUGAAAUUAAGCACACUACAUAAGCAAAAAUUUAACCAUAAAACUAUAAAAAUACAAUGUAAAUAAGAAAAACAAUAUUGACGAAGAUGUGUCCUACGGUUCUUCAAAAAAGAAAAUUCAUCUACUAUCGCAUAUGAGUCAAUAUUGUCUGCAAUUUCUCUUUCCAUGUAAAUAACCAUACAAUCUGAAAGAAACUCAUUCUCCAUCUUGUUUCAAUGUGUUGUCUUAAUCAGUUUCAUGGCAGAAAAUGCUCUCAACUGUUGUUGCUGUUGAAACAAGAAGGGUUAACACUAAAUGAUUAACACUAAACAAGAAGGGUUAACAAGAAGGGUUAAUCUAUCCAACAAGAAAUAAAUCUAUGACUUUCUAGUCUCAACCAAUCUUCGACACAGUUUAGAAAGGGAAGUAAUAUUCUGAAACUCUUGAAGAGAGUGUAUAUCUAUCUCAAAGCACUCUAAUUGUCUUCUCAAAGCCUGUAACUCAAUCUUAGUGAAUCUUUAGGAUAAAAUCUUUCAGCAAGGCUGUAAAUAUCUUCAAUUUUAAAUGAUUUAAAUGCAUCAAUAGGAUUUAAAGCUGAACUAAGAGUGAGGAGUUCCAAAGUCUGUUAAGCAAAUCUAUUAUUCAACUCCAUCAAUUGAAAAUCUAUCACAGCAUUAAAUAUAUCAUAAUGAUAAUAAUGCUCAACUGUAAUAUAAUUAUUCUGCUGACAAGAACAUCCUCUGCCUUUCAUAUGGCGAGCUUUCAUAUCAGGCAUAUCUAUCUCAUUCUUUUCAUAAAAUAGAACUACGUUCUCAAUAAAAGUUUUCCAACCAUUGUCUCGCAGCCUUUGAAGAAGUUUUUUCGUAGUUGAGACUAAGUGCACAACAUUUAGAAUAUCUUGAGAUUUAACUUGUAAUGCUUGACAAAGUAAAUCACUCACCCCCAAAACUUUAUUUAAUAAAUGCAAAAUGAACACAAAUUUAAAAGAUGUCAUUGAUUCACAUGCACCUUUAGCCUCUCCACAUAUACUAUUGUUAGGUCCACACUCGACCAACUUCUCAAGAACUUUACGAACAACACUAAACAAAUCAAGCAACCUACUGAUAGAAUGGAAAUGAGAGCUUCACCAAGUAGCUCCAGGCCGUUGCAAAGUAUGAAUUUGAUUGGCCCCUGUACCAGUUUGAACUUCUCCUGAAGCUAUCAAAUCUAUUAUUUCUGCUUCCCAAACAAAUUUUAACUCAGAAAGUCGUUUAGCAGAUGAAGUCAGAACAUUUACAAUUGAACCCAAUGCUGAAAAGAAAAGCCAUACAUCUGGCACAUCAUUAGAUGCUGCAACUAAAGCAAGUAGUUGAUGUGCAAAACAGUGUAUAUUAUAUGCAUAUGGGCAAUCUUUCAAAAAUAAUGCUUGUAAUCCAUUCCAUGCAUCCCGCAUGUUACUAGCACCAUCAUACCCUUGCCCUCGGAUAUUUUCAACUAAAAGAUCAUAUCGUGCAAGAACAUUACAUAUUUCUUUUUUCAAUGUUACUGUUGUAGUUUCCAUGACAUUGACAACUUCAAAAAAACGUUCUCGAAUAUACCCAUCACAAUCAACAUACCUUAAAAUAAUAGCCAUUUGCUCUUUAUCAGAUUCCUCAAGUGCUUCGUCUACUAAAAUACAAAACUUACCAUCUCCAAUUUCCUUGCUUAUCUUGUUUUCGCACUUUGUUUGCAAGAAUAUUUAAAAGCUCUUUUUGAAUGUCAGACGAUGUAUACUUAGCAUACGAUGGAGCAUUUUCCAAGACAACUUGAGCAAUUUCUUUACUACACUCCGCUGAAUGCUUUAUCAACUCUAUGAAAUUUCCCCGAUUUCUUGAAUCAACUGGUUCAUCAUGACCUCUAAAAGCACAUGCUUGCUCUGCUAACCAUUUAACUGCAAUAAUUGAGGUCUUCAAUCGUAGCCUAUUCUCCAAAAGUUGUUGUGAAGUUUGGGCAUUAAUUAAUCUAUCAAUGUGUUGAAUUGGGUUCCUCAAACAACCCCAACUCUGCAUAUUCUUAUUAUGAUGAGAAGAUGGACCUCCUUCAUGCUGUAAAAAGGGACAUUUUUUUCCAUUGUUGACUCUCUUCCAACUAGAAAAUCCUUCAAUAACAAAUUUUGGGUUGUUUGAUGGAAUUUCAUCAAAAAGAAAGCAUGGAAAACAAAAUGCACGAUCUUUUACCUCAGAGUACUCAAGCCAUGGAAAUUUUUUAAACCAGUGACAGUGAAACCUACGUUCUUGCAUGCCAUCAUUAGUUAGUGGAUAAUCUCGUAGUUUAGGCUGAUAAGGUCCCAUUUUGAUGUACUCCCUUCUAAUAUCAUCACAUUGAUUUACUGAAUACGUCCCUAUUUGAUGACGUAAUCCAGGAUCACGCUCCAGAUAAGUAUUUCUAGUUUCUUCAACUUCAACCCUUUGAAACUUGGAAGUAUGUUGCUCACUGGAAUCUUGAGCAUUAACUUGACAUGGAGAUAAAGACUUGGUGGAUGAUUGAUUUUCACCUACUCUCUUAAAAAAAGAAAGUAGAGUUUUUCUUGGUUUAUUUAACAUUGAAUUUGUAAUAAAAUACAUUAAAAAUUUAGUAUUUAUUUUAUAAAAAAUUUGACAAAAUCGCAAGUUAAAAGCUAAUUAAAAAAGUCAGCAUUCAAAUUAAUUAUUUUACUAUUUUAUUCACUCAUUCUUUCAUGCCAUCAUUAUUUUAUAAUUACAAGAAGAUGAAUCAACACCUUUCACAGUUCCACUUUAUAUGCUAUCAUCACCGUUUUUCACAUUCUAUUAUUUUAUAAUUUUAAAAAGAUGAAUCACAGUUCACAAAAUCAACAACUUCCAGUCUUCCACAAUUCCACUUCGUGUGCCAACCAUCAUUAUCAUAAAAUCAUAUUAUAUUCUGUAAACUAAAGUUUAAAAGGCAAAGUGCUUUGUACCAAGGGCCGCAUCAAGAGACUGGGCAUUCGGCGUCGGCUCGGCAGUGAGAGAUUCAACCUAUGGGUGCGGGCCUUGCGGCAGUGGUUCGGCGUCACUCAUGAGGCAGCGGCUGGGCGUCAAUUCGAGCGCAGGAGACUGGGUAUUCAGCAGCGGUAAGAGACUUGAGCAAUUGAAUUUUGGUAAAUUUCAAAUUCGGAUUUAGUUAGAUACUGGUGAGUUUUAUGAAUUGUGAUUUAGGGAAAUAAAAGAUUCCUAUAAUUAUUGGGUUUGUUUUUAUUUUUCUAUAAAUACUAAUAAAAGUAAAUUUAUAAAUUAUAAAUAUUUUUUUUUCAAAAAGCUUACCCAGGCUGCAGCCCGGGUUAGCCUUCCCUAAGCUUUGCUCUGCCUCCACAGUCAUUGUCUACUUCCCUUGAAUGUCUUCGGGAUGGUUGUUCCUUUAUGUGGUCACAUCAUGAUAACAAGCAAACUUACUCUAAUACCAGCUGGCGAUGAGGAAACAUUAAAAGGCUAUUAGAUAAUAGAAACUAGGUUUUUAAAUAAUAAGUUAUAUUGCGAAUAAUUUGAACAAACAAAAUUGGGGUAUUGAACCACUUUUAUAGAAGCAUAAAUAUUAGGAAUUUACCAAAAUAGGCAAAUCCAAAAUAUUAUAUGAUAAUAAAAUCCUUCUAAUCUAAAUAAGAAAAGGAAAACAAAUGGAACUCAAAUCCAAUAUCUAGAAAAAAAGGAUAAAAAUCCUAAAAGAAUCACGACAAAUUAAAAAAAUAUCUUAAAACUGAAAAACAACAAAGAAAGAAGUGAAAUUUUUUGCUCAACCGCAGGGCAUGAUAGCAUAGACUGUUCUGCAUUUGGUUCAACUUAUUGCAAGCUUUGAAACGAUAUAUUAUACAUUCAAAAUGGAACGGAUAUCUGUAUCCUAAGUUAUGACCUUCGGAAGAUACCCUACUCAUUCUAUGCAACCAUCCUACGUCAACUUGCCUUUGCUAUGUAUCUUCGAGCAACUUGAAUGGCUUGAAGAUUUGUGGUAAGCUUUUUCACUUCUUGUUGGAGAAUAGUCACAAACCUCACCUGUUGUUUCACUUAUUCAUAAGCAGCAAAGGAGUUCAGUUGCCCAAGAAGAAGGGAAGCGAUCGCAUCCGCCAUUCUGACAAGGAAAAGGAGAAAUAAUUUGAUAAGAUGUUAAGUGUGCUUUUGUUAAGAAAAUACCAAAUCAAAGGAGCAGUUGCAUUCUUCUUACAUUGCAUGAAAAAAGUUAAUAGUUAUCCUCCCCCACCCCACACAUCCAUAAUUUUACCAUCUUUAAUUUUUAUGAUUCUACUCCACAACUAUGGUACAUAAUUGUAAAUAUUCUAAAAUUAAUUUGUACUGGUCGGGCCAGUGCCAUGUAAAACAAAAACAAAAACUCAAAAGAAAAAAAAAAGAAGAAAACAAAAGUUGUAAAAAGCAUGCCUCACGGAUAAUUUACUUAUAGUUAAAUUUCGUCCCACACCCUUAUUAGAUUGAAAUACUUUAAUUUACCCUCCAAAAGUAUAAAAACUUCAUUUUACCUGCCAAAUGCCAUUAUUUUUAAUAGUUAACUAAUGUUGACUUGAAAAAUACGAGAAUGCCCCUGACCCUAACUAAUUAACAGUUCAUUGAGUUAACAAGAAUAAUUUUAUUUUGCCCCUUAAGGUCUAUUAUAUUUCAAGUUAGACUACAAAAAAAAUUAUUAAUAAAAACUCCCUAUAGAAAAAAAAAAGUAAAAAAACCAUUAAAAGAUUAAUUUAACUUUUACUUAUAUCUUAAUCUAUAAAACAAGUAUGAUAAUCACAAAUUUAUGUUAUGAUAUCACCACAAUGAAAAUUUAAAAAAUAAUUUUGACCCUUCUCUUGAAUUUAAAUAUCUUAGGAAUAUCAAUAUUUAAUUAAUUAGUUGACUUUUACCAUUCAAAAUACCAUUUUACCUUUCAAAGUAUCUAAAAGACAAAUUAACGCACAAAAUUUAUUGACAUUCCAUUAAUAAUGUAAUUUGACGGGUUAAAAAUUAAAAAAAUAUAUAAAAUUUAGAGAAAUUCAAAGACUGAAGCCUUAACCCCUACUUAUAAUCCCAAAUUUUUAUCAGUUUCUUUCUUAUUAAUAUCAUUUGCUAUAAUUUUAAUCUUAUUUUUUUUAAUAAUAAUUCUUUUUAUUGAAAGCCAUUUUAGUAUUUUUUUUCCCCAAACAUCAAACUAAGGGGUAAAAUAGUAAAAUAAUUCAUAAUUUAUAAUAUUUCAGUAUAUCCAAUAUAUAUCAUUUUCAUAGAAUAAUAUUUAUCAUUUUUUUAGUAUUCUUAGGAAUCUUGAAUAGUAACACCUUUUUUUUUUUGGUGUGGACCAUGAAGUAUUCUGGGGAGAGCCCCAACUGUGGAAGGCACCUUUAAGCCCGUACUACAACCCAGACUAACAAUCCCCGCUCAAACCGGGAGACACAGGUUCUCCCAACAAAUGCGACUUCCCUGCGACUAAUAGUAACUCCUUUUUAAUUUAUGAUUAAAAUGUUAAAAAACAAAAAAGUUAUAAUCUUUUAAAAUUUGAAACGAGUUAUUGCAAAAUAAUAAUAAUAAUAAUAAUAAUUUUAUUCCUUAGUUGAGCUUUGAAAUAUAAUAAAUUACCAACAAUGGCAUCCACUACAAUUUAUCCUUAAUUAAAAUUUAAAAUUGCAAUCCAUUUUUUUGUUUUCCAAAUUAUUUUUUCUUUUAUUCUUGGUCUUCUUUAGUUUCCUUAUUUCUUUGUCUUGUACUCUUUUUUUUUUUUUAACCUCUGUUCCAUAUUUGAGGCUUUAUCUUAAUUCUUUGCAUUAAUUCUAUCAAGACUAUCCUUGAUAAUUCUAUUACGGUACAACUCAAAUUUCUACCAUCACAUAAUAUUAGAGAUAUAUAUUAUAUUCUUAUUAAUCAGAAGAUAAUUUUACUCCUAUCCAGUUUAAUUAAGAGGAAAAUCGAGAGAAAUAUCUACUUUAUUCUUGUUAAUAAAGAAAUAAUUUUAUCCCUAUCUAAUUUAAUUGAAAAGAAAAUUGACAAUAACCUAUGCACUCAAGCCAACUUUAAGUGCUUGGAUGCAUGGGUUGUAAUGUUUUUUAUUUAAAGGCUCAGGCUAGAACCAACUAAUAUCAGCCGUGUGAUUUUAAUCACUCAAUCCAACCGUCACGAUUACACUCAGUGGAUAAACAUUCCACAUAGUCCACAAACAUGAAGAGUAAAGGAUUGAUUGCAUAUGUAUCCUCUCAAGUUCUCAAGAACUUUUUCUUUAAAACACACUUUUAAAGCUAAUCUGCAGAUCUCUCCGAAAACUUUUCCUCUUCUAACUCCUCAUCUCUUCCUCACCAAAUCUUCGGAGGCAAAAAUCUUUCUUGCCUUCUCCAGUGGAUUCUUGAUUUCUUUUUUUCUUUUUUUUUUUCGGUUGCACCCACCUCUUCCUUAUGAUUUGAGGAUGUGUGUCUUGUUCUGGCCUUCUUCACCUUAAGGUGGUUGUUCUAUUUCAAUUUUCUCCUCCUUUGGUUUUGAGGAUGGCUGCUAUGCGUCCAUUCAGAUCUUGAUCUGUGAUGGUAAUAAUGUACCAGUUAUAGUGAUAAUUUUGGUUUAAUUUCUAUUUUCCAGUACAUAACCCUUCAACAUCUCUGUCAAAUGCAAUGAACCGAUCACAACCAUUCAUAAUUAACCCAAAAAAAAAAAAAAAAAAACACAGAGAACAAUCACAACGACGAUUUGUUUUGAUCAUCCCUGCUUUUUCUUAGCAUAGCUCUUGGAAUGAAAAUUAAUAAAAAGUGUCAAAAGGGAAGCAUUAAACACAGCAUUGAAGCACCAACCCAAGAUCCCAGAGCAUCCAAAUCCCGCAAAAUGAUAAUACAGCAUCAAAACUGAAACAACAAAACUAAACACGAACUGAACAAUCUGACAGUCAGUGACCAAUCUCUUCCACUUUGGCCGCAACCCCAUCACACACAAUAGAUAGUACCCGUACAUGAUCACGUGCACACUUGCAUUGGUGACAAGUGCGAUAGGAAACAAAGACUGCUUCGUCUGUAACCAAAGGUAGCACAUUACGACGACGGUUGCGUGGUGGUAGACGUGGAGGAACGUGAGCCGUUCGAUGGAGUUUGACAAAAUGAUCAAAAGGGUGUCUAGGAAUUCGAGUAUUUUGGAGAGGUAGAAGAUGUAAGCGUAGAAGAAGAGGGGACCGGAGGGAGAGAUGGUGGGGGGGAAACAGAGGGUGUGACGGAGGUCGGGUGAAUGGAGGACGAUGGAGAGAGUGCAACCAACGGCCAUGACGAGGGAGAGGAGGAGGAGGGUGAGGUUAUGGACGGCUGUGAUGGGCUUGAGGAUGUGGGGUCCAAUGAGAGGUGAUGAUGAUGGUGAUGUUGGCGUUAAUUUGUGGUAGAGUAUGAAUGUGAGGGAGAGGUAAGUGAGGAUGGAGAGAAUGAGGAAGUGUGGGGAGGAAGCUGGGGUUUGGUUUUGAGUCCAUGUGAAGUUGAGGAUUUGGGGGUGGUUUACAAGCCAAUAUUGGAGUGUUGAGGUGAUUGAAUUUGAAGCCAUGGCUGGUUUUUUGGAGGAGGAAAGAUUUGGAAGAGAUGAUGUUGAGAGGAGUGGGGGAGUUUAGAAAGUUUGGGAUAAUGUGAGGGGUAUUUUGGGCAUAUAAUGUUGUCUGAGCUUAAAUUUUUGUUAAAAAGAAAUAAUAAUAAUAAUAAAUUCUUUUCUCAUGUCAAUUUAAAACUCCGAGUGUGUUUCCAACAAUUGCUUUUCUUUUUCUAUUUUGGGAUUUUGAAUCAUUUUUUUUUCAAUUCAAUAAUGGCCUCUUCAAUUAUAAAAUAUGGUCAAAGGGGAUGGGGUGUAGUGUCUAGGCCUCCGCGACAACGGCAUCUUUGAACGUGGGUUUCAUCAGUUUUUUUUUUUUUGGCUAUUUCUGCUCAAAUCAAACUUGUGGAUUUCGUGCACUCAACGUGGAACCCUUUUGAAUGGACGCAAUGGUUUUGGUGGGAUCACACAAUCCGAAGAAGCAUGGAACUGGGACCAAUUUGUUGACAAAAAUUUAGGCAUAAAAUUUACAAAUCGAAGUCAGAGUAAGAUUUAAGUAAAAUUGAGUAACAUCUUGCACAUCGAGUAAGGAUUUCUACAAUCGGGCUAGAAAGUGCAACUAAAAUUUGGUAAGAGUUUCAUAGAGCAUAAUUUUUAAGAUACAACGUUAAGAGUAUUUAGUAGACACUUAUAAUAUUACUUGAAUUGAUUUAAUCUCAUACUCUAAUAUAAAAAAUUUAAAAUAUACUCUUAUAAUAUUACUUGAAUUGAUUUAAUCUCAUACUCUAAUAUAAAAAAAUUUAAAAUUUCUUUACUAAUUUUAUUGAAAGUAUUAUUUGACAAUCCUAUUUAUUACAUAAUAUCAACGUUUAUAUUAUAAUUACCGCUAAUACUAAAAGCUGAUCUCGUAAUUAAAAGCUAAACAAAAACUCGAGUACAAUCUAGUAAUUAAAAGCGCUAUGGUUUUUUGGCAUUACAAGAUGAUUCAAACUUGAACUUGCCAUCAAAAGUGUAUCAAAACAAUCACAGAGACACUCUGUUUGACAAAUCUGCAGUAGAAUUUGCACAAUUUAACUGGGUUACAGAGAGUGAAUAAGAUUCCAAAGCAACAGGCCAUUAUUAUUAAGAAAACAAUUCAUCGCUAGAACAAAAUUAACUUUUCUAACUUACUAGAAUUUAACUGGAGAAAAAUUGGAAUAUACGAAGUUGUAUCACAUAUAGUAUUUAGACAUCAAGAAAAGAAUCCCUCUAUCAGUGAACUAUACUUGCCAGGAAACACGGUGAAAUACCACCACCUCCCUACUAGUUCUUAGAUGUCUCAAAAGAGUUUGAUGACGACUUCCGUGUUGUAUCUCUUCGACAGGCAGCAAAAUUGGGCUAUUGACUAGAUUAACUCCCCAGAAAUUUAUGCGGUCACCUUCUUCCGGACUAUCCUCUUUCUUCGCACUUUAGGAGCCCUUGCUUCCCCUUCAACAGAGUCGACAUUCCCUUGUUUGAUGCCAAGGAGCCCAAGCCCAGAGACAAUGGCAUUCUUUGAUAUCAACCACUUUGGGGACUUUUGAGUUGAGCCAUUGACAUCCUGAGACGGCCUGUUGUAAGCCUUCUUCAAAAGGUCAUCUGACUGAAGUAGCGGAUCCGCUUCCACUCCUAACCAAGCAAGCCUUGAUCUUUCUCCUAAUUGGACAUUAAGAACCCUGCAUGGAAUCCAUUUGAGAAGUUGAACAAUAGACAAAGUCCAACACAUAUAGGCAGUAAAGAAUAAUUUGGACAACAAUUACUGAUUGUUUACGCACAGGGCUGAACAAAUGGGAAUAUUAAGGCACAUAAAAAUUGGAACCAUAUUCACCACUUGUACUUCCUUAGAGAAUUAUCUCAGAGUUCUGUUAAUUUAAAACCAUUCUUACACAUUUAACUGUAAAACUAGAGAAAUUGUACUUCUGUAGCGAAGUCUCACUAUUGUUAAGGAUUUGGACUUGGAGAGAAUGCAAGUUGAUUAAGCAAAGAAAAAUUGAAAUAAUAAUUGGUGAUAGAUCUAACACACUUCAAUAGAAACCACACUAACAUCAUAUCAGGCAAAUAAACAGAUUCCCCAGUCAAAAGUUUAACAAACAAAACAUUAAAACAAUAGUAAUUUGGUCCGACCAGAAUAGUCUAUCAAUGUAUAUAGAGAUGUAGAUCAAUAAACAAAUACGUAAAAGAGAGAGAGGGAGAGACCUCAAAGCAGUGCUUAAGAACAGUGCUACUCCAAUAACAUCAAAAUGGUUGAUGACCGCUCUAUCAAAUCCACACAAUAGCUGGUAUCUCAUGUUUGCACAUAGUCCAAGGAAAGCACCAUAACCAAGCGCAUUAGUACUCACAGAUGGGAUUGUCACAGAUAACCUGUCAGACAUUAAAGGUGGCCCAAAUUUAACAAAUGUUAAACUAGCUUAGACAGUAAACAGAACAAUUUUCUAAGUUUUCUUUAUUUGUGAUGAAUAAGUGAACGAGGAAUGAAAAGGAAGUUUUACAACCAUGUUUACCUGUCCUUUUUACCAGCAAGAUAGUUUGACAAAGAGCCUUGCACUGCUCCUGCAGUUAAUCCCACCAUACACAACUCUGCAGCCUUGUAAAAAAGGGAAUGGAUUCUCUUUUGCAAGUCAAAUUCUCGAAAUGGGCAACUCCGUUCUAAUAUAUUGUUUGGGAACGACAAGGAGCAAACAUUUAUUAGCUUAAUAUAUAAAAUAAAAAUAAAAAGCAAGUUCCUUUGUUGUGAAAAGAAAAAUAAAAACACGCCUAUCCUUACGAUUCUCCAGCUCCCACCAAACAGUGCAACCAAUUAUGGGAGCCUGCUCUACCAGAAGUUUAUACAAAAAAGCUGGAUCUGCCAGCAUCCUGGGGCAACAGCAGUUAAUACAUAAGAAAUCUGAAAAGAGGCCCAACAUUUUACAACCAAUCAAAAAUCACUGAACCAUUGGAAAGUGAUUUACGUAUAAUUUUUUUUCCAAACUUUGUCCAAAAUGAUAGAAUGAGAGAGGAUGAGAUAGGAUGACACAAGAAACAAAUGUAAAUUGACCGUGUUGGAGAAAAAUCAGUUUUUUAUACAAACUUUUAGGGCCGAUCUCAUACAAUAUAUAGGAAUACGGAAUCUAGAAAUCGUACCUUGAAAAUCUGAGAAGAUGAACAAUCUUUGCUUUUUCCGCUGAAGUGAUUUAGGCUCUCAGAUCACGAUCUGUUACCACCACUCCUGUUAGAUCACGAUCCGUCACCACCACGCCUAUUAGAUCACGAUCCAUCACCACUGAUCUUAUAGACUAUGACUCAGGUUUGAUCCGCACUUGACGUGUGGACGCCUUUAUCACCACUAUAAGCAACUAGAGAGAAAAAUUUUCUCUCAAAAUUAGAGAGAAAAAGUCUUUUUCUCUAAUAUGUAUAAUGUGGCUGCUCUGUCUCUUUUGGGAGAAAAUAAACCUUUUUAUAUCUCUAUUUAGUGGAAACCCUAUGCUCCAUAUUUAUUUAUUUAUUAAUUCUAUUAAAUCCCAUUUGAUUUAAAUUAAAAAAUAAUUAAAACAAAAGUGACGUUACUUGUUUUUGUGUUCUAGGGGCCCGCCUUGUAAAAUAACACAAGGCCCCUUACACACAGGCAUAUUACACUCCCACUAAAUAAUUUAUUUAGGCUUUUAACUCAAAUAGCUAGUUAUCUUGCUUAUUAAUCCAGUAGCAGCGUGGUCAAUUAAACAAGCUAACCCGGGGAUUAUAUGGGUACAUACAAUAGUGGCUACAAUAAUUAGACCUGUAAUUAAACUAGUCCAAUUAUUUAAUUCCAAAUCUACUCCACUAAAAUAUUGGAAUUGACCUCCAUAAUUGUAUGCUAUCUAGGAUAGUGUACUCGAAUAAUAAUUCGACCUAUGCCACAUUGAUUUCUUUACUGCAUAAUCAUUUGUACCACAUCAUUAAUUAAAUCAAUAUCUCAACUGUCCAAUCGAUUUAAUUACAUCUUGUUCCUUGAUACUUACUGGUUUUCUCUAAUGAUCAUUUUCAAACAUACUAAAUAUGUUGACACACUCUGGCCAGAGAAUUCUAUGAUCAAGUGCCGAAAACCCAUCAAGAAUUCUAUAUUGUUAAUUUAUAACUUCAAUACUCAUAAUUACUCCCACCAAGAUACCGGGUAAUCUUAACCACAAGUGUGUGUCGUGCCCAUUGGUAACUCAAAUGGAAUAACAAUUACAAUCAUGAAAUCAUAACUAACUCAAGAUUAAGAUUACAGUAAAAUCAAUGCCUAUGAGAUUUAAUAAGUCUGACAGUCAUUUCAAGGUUAAUUAAAUCUCAUAUGUGAUCCAGCUCAAUGUAGUCAAACUACGUCAGUAAAUUCAUAUAUGAUUAAGACAAGCCAUUCAAUGAAUUUACUACAGUCUAAACAUAAAUAGAACACCCAACUCUAUUUAUCAACUGCGAACUAAAUUUAUUUAAUCAUAAGAUAACUUGUAUUUAUGUCUUCUGUGAAUCCAUAUGAUGAUCACAUAAAUACAUAUAAUAUGAUUAAACAGACCUUAUUCGAUAUAUAUUUAUGCAAUUGAAAAUAUCUUAAAUAUUUUAUUAAUCAAAAAAUAAAUUAAUAUACUUUAAAAGAGCAUAUAAUCCCAACAGACAGCAAGUAGAAAUAUACUUCUGUUAUAUUUGCAACAUCUUCUAGUGUCAAUUUCUUUUCCUUGAGCUCUGUUUCUGCGUGUGCUCAAAUGCAACGCGCAUGACACAAGAUAUAAUUAUCAACAUGAAUUUUUGCCGCCACAUGCAGCACUUGGAAAACUGUUUAUGGUCAUACAGAACUGGAAAAUAAAAAAUCAUUAACAGCGAGAGAAAUCAUUUUAAUCGCAACCAAACAUACACACUAUGAAAAUCUAAAAUUGAAUUUCUCCCAAUGAAUGUGCCUCUUCACAGCAAUUUCACAAGCUAAUCCCAGCAGCCUGCGUCAUGGAGUUUCUCCCAAUGCGUGAGCGAGCCUUGAAUAGUGGCUCAAACUAAAAUGAACUUAUUGUGGACAUUUGAAUUAAAAAUACAUGUAAAAGCAGUUUUCUCAAAGCAAGGUCAAGAUAAGAGAUUAACUUUGCUCCUUAUUUACAUUAAAAAUAACAAACAAUGAAAAACAGAGCUAGAGACGAACUUACCUGUGUGCUGAGACAGAGCUAGAGGGGAAUAUGGGAUAUCUUCUUAGAUUUGGUUUGAGAAACUCCAUCUUCUUCUGAAAGUUCUGAUAGUUCCCUUAACCCAGGCCAAUACAAUUGCAACAGAAACUGCAUGCUUUAAGCAGCAUCUGAUCAUCUCUUGUUAUUUCAAGACAAUAAUAACUUAAUUGCAACACUGUGUGCUUCAACCAUUAACCUUUUCAAUUUCAACACUUCUUUUGUCCCCCGCCCGAUGCCCUUUUAACAAUUCUAUGAAUCAGAUAAAUCAGCCUUCUUCACAAAACUAUGACAAACUUUUCACGGUGUUCCACACAUUCCGGGAUCCGUAUUGAUAACAAACAUUUGAUGAAGACCCUGCCAAUUAAAAUUUAGGUCACAUGUAACAUAAUUUCUUAUUUUUCUUUUGUACACAAAUGCAGACACUUAAGCAAAUUAAGAUUUCAUACCUAAAGCAAAUUAGGAUUCUUUUGACCCUGCAAGUUACAAUUUCACUCCCCAUGUAAUAGUAAAAAUUUGUACACAUAUUUAUAGCAAAUUAAUAUUUCAUACCUCACAAUAUUUAUCAUAACCAUCAAUCUUUAGAAACCACAUGCAGACUUGUUAAACUGUUUAUGGCGCAAAAUAACAGGGAAAUUAGAACAGAUUUUUAAGAAUGAGCGACUAAAUAUUUCAAUGGCAACUAAAAUUACACAUCUUGGAAAUCUGAAACUCAAGUACUCAGAAUGAAUGUGCCUCUUCACAACAAUUAAACAAGCUGGGAACUUUAGUGCAAAUGCUUUUUCAUAAUCUUCAAUUGCAUAAGUCAGUUAGAAUCAAUCUUUCUUAAUCUUUCAAUUCACAUAUGACAGCCUGAUAACACAAGGAAACACUAUUAGUGAAUUGUCAACUGCGACAAAUUUUGGGUAAAAAAUAUCAACUGUAGUUAUCUGCAUAACAUAUAGUGUCAACACCAAAUUCCUUCUUGAUCCGUGGAAGCAUUUCAGCCCACAGACGGUUUGCUUUGUCAAUAUAUAUCAAGCUUUGUAGCUUUUAAGAAAUUGCAGGUGAAAGACUUGGAAUUUUCGAUAGCAACUCAGGAUUCUAUAUUUAAACGAUGGUGUUUGAUGACUUGCUGAUACAAAAGACAUUGCCCCAAGCACUUUUUUACAGGAGCUAAAAUCAAGCCAGUCACUUCCAUUUGUUGCAGUUUUAAUGCAGAAAGAAAAAAAGGGGGGGGGGGAAUCUGCAAGAUAACACUUGUAGUACCGCAUGUUCGCAGAAGCAGAGUUAAAUAUGCUUAAUUUCUCACUCACUCCAAGAACUUUCAUUCUCCCAUAAUUCACUCAAAUGAAACUUUCAUUGGAAGGUCCAAUUAUUAAGGAUUUAGCAUCACUUCAUAUGCUCAACAAUUCAAAUUUAAGGAUGUUAUUUCACAAAAUGGAGGACUCUAUUUGGCUUGUGAACAAUCUUCCUCACCAUCAUCAUCAUUGUCGUACCAGUUGCACUGAACAAUCCUCAUUCUGACAUUUGCCCCAAUUAUCUGAUUACACAAGAAUCCGAAACAACUGUUAGAAAUUUUAAUCUUGAUAUAUAGCCAAAAUGGUGAAUAAGAUGAUGUACUUGAUAAUAAAAACUUGAUUUAAUAAAUAAUUAAGGGGCCGAUAACAAGCACAGAAUCUCAUCGUGUGGGGAAAGCCUUGACAACAGAAGAUGGUGCUUUCAUUCAAGCCGAUAACAAGCCACUAUAUAUGCAGUUAUCAUCUUCAAUUUGCUCAUCUUUGUCUACAGUAUUGCUUCUGCGUUAACUUAAUUAGCGUGCAAGCCACCUGAAAAUGGUUUUAAAUACUGAGAAAAAGUUUGAAUUCGAACAAGUUAAUCAAAUAUGAUGACAGAAAACACAAAAGUAAAAUAACCAAAAGAAGUAGAAAUAUACUUUUGUUAGAUUUAGAGCAUAAUUCUUCUGUCAAGUUCAUUUCCAUUAGCCUUGUUUCUGUGAGUGCUCAAAUGCAAUUCCUCAACGCUCAAGAUAGUUUCCGCGGACCUGAAAAACUAGUUGUGGCCAUAAGGAACUUCAAAAUUAGAAAAGAUUCAGAAUGAGUGACUAAAUAUUUUAAUCAAAACUAUUUAAACAUACACUAAUAUACCUCUACGCAACCAAGGAUGUAUCGGAUUAAACUUGCACUCUUCGAGUGAGUGUUGACUCCAAAAAUAGAAAGAUCAGAGAUGAAUAUUAAGAAUGGAAAGACAGGUUGUGAAAGAGAGAAGAGCCAAGAGAAAUAGAAAGAGAUAUUUUAUUUCUUCAUACCCCACACGAAUUCGUUCUGCUCUACAUAUAUUCCUCUGUCUAAGACGUUAGCAAAAAUAUUACAGCUCAACAACUUCUAACAGAAAAUAUGACAAUAAAAACAAACCAGCAAUCAUAAGGUACUAGCAAUUUCAUUACACGACAUAAUCCUUAAACCACCCAAGGGCUCUUCUAACUCGUUUGCUUGCGUACCGUUCCUCAUGAGCUAAUUCUUCCUCAACCUGUGAUGUGGCUUCCUUCAUGGGCUGUUCAUAAUUGGACUCGUUGUUGGGCUGCCAUUCUUGUAAGUAAUCUGGUUGAUCCGAAUGAAUGUGGAAGGUUGUAUCAUUCCCUCCAUCUUCAAAACUCACCUUGUCCUCAAGGUGAAAAUCGGGAUAAAGUUUACAGAAUGUUUCAAACUCUUCCCAAGUAGAAUUCUCAGGGGAAUUGUCUUGCCACUGGACCAGAACUUGACAGCAUUGCUUUCCUUGGUUAAGCACGGUUCGAAUAGCACAAACUGGAGCAGGUAAAUAUAAUGGCUAAUUAUGCAUACUUGUUGAUGGCAAGGAAUGGGAAGCAGGGUUUUGAGAAUCAAGGAAGGGUUUGAGAAGUGAAAUAUGAAACACUAGGUGGAUCUUAGAACCCCUGGGCAAGUCAAGUUUAUAAGCUCCUGGACCAACUCGAGCUAGCUCAUGGAAAGGGCCAUAAUACCGUUUAGCUAGCUUUUGACAAGAACGAGUUGCCACUGUAUUUUGGCAGUAUGGCUGAAGCUUCACUAGAACUUGGUCCCCAACAGCAAACUGAGCUUCAUGUCUAUGAGCAUUAGCUUUUUGAAUCAUGCGAUGUUGAGCUUGGCGUAAAUUCUCUUUCAAAGAACGGAGUAAUGCAUCCCGUUCACUUAAUGCUUCAUCAAGAGCUUGGAUUGAAGUAGAGCCCUUUGAGUAAGGAGGGAUGGAAGGAGGUGGUCGCCCAAAAAGAGCCUGAAAGGGAGACAUCUUGAUGCUGCUGUGAUAGGAAGAAUUGUAAGAAAAUUCAGCCCACCCAAGUAGAGAUGCCCAUGAGCUUGGUUUUUCUUGAGUGAAAGCGCGAAGAUACUGCUCCAAGCCACGAUUGACUACCUCCGAUUGCCCAUUUGUUUGUGGGUGAUAGGCUGUACUGUGACGAAGGGUAGUGCCACUUAACUCAAAUAACUUCUUCUGAAAAUUGCUUAAGAACAUAGGGUCGCGAUCAGAAAUAAUAGAGGUAGGAAACCCAUGAAUUUUUAUAACCAUAUCCAUGAAUAAUUCGGCUGUCUUUACAGCAGUAAAUUAAGUGGGAAGGGAUCCGAAGUGUGCCGAUUUAGUAAGGCGAUCAACAACUACCAAUAUCACUGAAAAACCUCGCGAAACGGGAAGGCCAGUAAUGAAGUCCAUAGUGAGUUCGUCCCAAACUAAAGUAGGGAUAAGAAGAGGUUGCAGUGGACCCGCUGGUGCUUGAGUAGAGUAUUUGGUCUGUUGACACACAAGACAUUCGGCUACAAACCGCUCAACAUCCAUACACAUUUUAGGCUAGAAAAAAGUAAAUGCUAAGCGGACCAGCGUGCGUUUGAUGCCUACAUGCCCCGCAAGUGGAGUAGAGUGGAAUUCAGCCAAUAGAACUUCUUUCAAAGAUGAUGAUGAGUUGAUAUAAUAGCAAUUGCGGUAAAAAAGAAAUCCAUUAUAUAGCGAAUAAUCCCUUGAAAGAGUUCCCGCAGCAAAUUGUUGAUGAAGGGCAAUCAUAUCCGAGAGAGUGGAAUUUUCUAAGUUUAGAGUUGCUAACAACUCAAACAAAGGACGACUAAGAAGAGGCAAACAAGAAGCAGUCACGGUUGAUGUGUCCGCACCAGCUUCCUCAUGAACUCGUGAUAAAGCAUCGGCUGCAAGAUUGGUACAGCCCGGUUUAUAUUCAAUGCGGAAGUGAUAGCCUAAUAAUUUUCUGAUGUAGAUUUGCUGAUCUGGAGUUUGAACUACCUGCUGUAGAAGUUCUUUAAUGCUUUUAUGGUCAGUUCGGAUGACAAAAAAUCUGCCCAAUAAGUAUUGUCGCCACUUGUGCACUGCCUCAACAAUAGCAGUUAAUUCCUUGAUGUAGGUAGAAGAAGCACGAAGUCGAGGGCCUAAUUUCUUAUUGAAGUAAGAUAUGGGGUGCCCGGAUUGCAUAAGCACAGCCCCUAUACCCACAUUAGAUGCAUCAGUUUCAAGGAUAAAGUCAGCAUCAAAAUCUGGUAGCCGUAGCACAGGGGCUUCCACCAUUGCCUUCUUAAGAGCGUCAAACGCUUCAGCUGCUGUUUGUGUCCACUGGAAGGCAUCUUUACAAAGUAAAUCAGUAAGGGGGGCUGCUAAAGACGCAUAUCCAUGAAUAAAUCACCGGUAAUAACCCGUUAAACCCAAAAAACCUCGAAGUUGUUUUGUAGUCUGAGGAGUCUGCCAAUAAACCAUAGCUUCAAUUUUCUAAGGGUCUGCCCGCACACCAGAGGCCGAAACAAUGUGGCCCAAGUAAUCAAUCUUUUCUUGGCAAAACAAGCAUUUGGAGAGCUUGACAAAGAACUGGUGAAAAUGAAGGCACACCAAUACUUGUUGAAGAUGCCACAACUGGUCCUCUGCUGUAGCACUGUAAACCAAAAUGUCAUAAAAAAAAACAAUCACGAAUUUACACAAAAAAGAAGCGAAAAUCUAGUUCAUAGUAGCUUGGAAGGUAGAAGGUGCGUUUGUUAAACCAAAUGGCAUGACAAGGAACUCGUAGUGGCCCUCAUGAGUGCGAAAGGCCGUUUUAUAAAUGUCGCGGUGGUGCACGUGAAUUUGAUGGUAACCAGCCUGUAAAUCCAACUUGCUGAAAACUGCUGCCCCGCCUAACUCAUCAAAUAAUUCGUCGAUAGUCGAAAUGGGAAAUUUAUCUUUGAUUGUCACGGCAUUUAAAGCUCUGUAAUCAACACAGAAGUGAUAAGUUCCAUCUUUUUUUUUAACCAACAAGACCGGUGGCGAAAAUGGACUAUGACUCGCUUGAAUGAUGCCUUGUUCUAACAUUUAACGGACAAGUUUUUCCAUCUCAUUUUUUUUUUGGAAAUAAGGGUAGCGAUAAGCGUGGACAUUUAUUGGAGUGGUAUUUGGGAGGAGAUGGAUUUUAUGAUCAAUUGUGCGAUGCGGCGGCAGUGUAGUAGGUGGAAAAAAUAAGUUGCGGUAGCUGUGUAGGAGGUCGAUGAAGGGUUAAGUUAAAUUUGCACGUAAUUCGAAGGAAGAACUCUCUGGAUUACUUGCCGAUUCCUCCCCAAAUGCAGGUACCUAUUGCAGAGCAAACACGCUAUAAAUAUCCGCAUGGUGGACUAAAGAUUGCAACUGAUUAAAGGUGAUUAGGGAGGGAGUAGUGGCUAAAUCGCCUCGAAGAGUCACUGGUGCCCCAUUCCAACAAAAUUCCAUAGAUAGGGCAGAGUAAUCAUGCGAGACACGGCCCAAGAGUUGCAGCCAUUGGAUUCCCAGCACCACAUCAGGCCCUUCAAUUGGCAGAACAAAGAGAUCUAAGGUGAACACAGUCCCCUGCAACGUGAGAGCAACUUGAGGGCAAAAGUAUUUGCACACCAAAAAAUCCCCAUUGCCAAUAUAAACACGGAAGGGUGCUGUUGGUUGUAUCGGUAAGCCCAUACUCUCUGCCAUUGUUAGUUUGAUAAAGUUAUGGGUACUCCCACUAUCGAUCAACACUUGAAAACUGUGAGAACCAACUUCACCAAUCAAAUGGAGUGAGCAGGGAUUGAUCUGACCCGCCAAAGCAUUCAAACUGGAAAUAUCCCCUGUUAUGACCUCUUCAACCGACUCUGGUGGCAACUCUUGCUCAAAAGAAGUAGGUUCAUUAUCAUCCGUACCUAUAAGGAGCAAAAAGUUACUGCGACAGUGAUGAUUAGCGCUAUAUUUCUGAUCACAGUUAUAACACAAGCCUUUUUCACGCUUGUCACGGAGCUCCGCUGGAGUGAGGCGACGAAUUGGUAAGUUGGGUGUGGGAAGAAAUGGUGGUAACGUGUUUAGUUUAGGGGGUGGAGGAGUAUUUUGUGAAUGAGAUGGUACGUGGACCAUACCAACUGAAUGAUUCGGUUGUGUUGAAGCAAGAGGAUACAGUUGAGGCUGAAAUUUGUGUGACGGGGAGUUUGUGGUAGGUGUGGGUGCUGUGUUGUUCCAUUUUGUCAAAAAGCGGUGUCCUUGUUUGGCCUCUUUAGCACGUGCUUCAUAGGCCCGAGCUAAUGCAAAUGCUUCAAUCAGAGAAGAGGGCCGAGCAAAAAGCAACUCACGACGAAUAUUGGGUUUCAAUCCCGUGAUAAAAAAACUUAUCAGAAGUGGCUCGGAGAUUCUAGUCACUCGAUUCAUUAAAUCUUCAAAGGCGGUCUGAAAUUCAGUCACCGUUGUAGUUUGGGAUAACUUGGAUAAAUUUCCUUGAGGAUCUUCAUAGAGAGAGGCACUAAAACGAUGUUUAAGAUUCUGUAAAAAUGCUUUCCAGGUUGUAAGCAAAUUAUUCAUCUUCAUUCAUUGAUACCACGCUGCUGCUCAUCCUUCCAUAUGAAAAGAAACAAUCCACAAUUGAAGAGUUUCUGGUGUACCAUGAAAAUCAAAGAACUCCUCAAUUCGGAAAACCCACCCGUUUGGGUCAGAUCCAUCAAACUUAGGAACCUCCAUCUUCAUAGAACGGAGCACUGGGGAUAUCUCAACACCACUGGAAUUUGCCUCAGUAGAAGAAGAUAUUGGGUGUGGUUGAUUAGGAGCUCGACCCGUGUUAUUUGAAGACCCCUGGAUCUGUGAACGCAAAUCGUCAAGGCGAGAAUCUACUGUUGCCAUAUAUUGUUGCAGCGUUUGAUGCAACGACAAUGUUUGGCUCUCGAACUAUUCUUGAAUUGUUUUUAACAGUUCAGAGUCCGUCAUGAUGAUAGCAAUGAACAAUGAAAGCACCAAUGAUACACCUCUACGCAACUAAGGAUCUAUCGGAUUAAACUUGCACUCUUCGAGUGAGUGUUGACUCCAAAAAUAUAAAGAUCAGAGAUAAAUAUUAAGAAUGGAAAGACAGGUUGUGAAAGAGAGAAGAGCCAAGAGAAAUAGAAAGAGAUAUUUUAUUUCUUCAUACCCCACACGAAUUCGUUUUGCUCUACAUAUAUUCCUCUAUCUAAGACGUUAGCAAAAAUAUUACAGCUCAGCAACUUCUAACAGAAAAUAUGACAACAAAAACAAACCAGCAAUCAUAAGGUACUAGCAAUUUCAUUACACGACAUAAUCCUUAAACCACCCAGGGGCUCUUCUAACUCGUGUGCUUGCGUACCGUUCCUCAUGAGCUGAUUCUUCCUCAACCUAUGAUGUGGCUUUCUUCAUGGGCUGUUCAUAAUUGGACUCUGUUAGAGUGCAAUUUAUGCACUAGUUUUGCAUUGUUUACUUCCCUUAAUAUCGAUGUUUUGCACUUAAUAAUAAUGAUUUACUUGUGUUUUACUUUUGUAGGUGCAAUUCUAUUGAUUCGUGAUAAAAUUGAGUUAUAAGAUGAUGUUUAAAGAUGAUUGUUCUCUUGGAGAAAUUAAGAGAGUCAGAAGAACUUUAUUGAUAAGGCAUGGGCGCGUGCUAUCAACUGCGGACCUGCGGCUUUUAGUUUAACGUGUUUUGUAUUUUUGGCUAUUUUUGUAAUUACGAAUUUAAUAUUUAAGAUAUUAGUAUUUUAUUUUAAAUAGAACUCUAAAAGAGAAGAGAGAGAGAGAUUUUAAGGAGGAAUCUAUUGUGAAAGAGGGGGAUUUUUGGAUUGGAGAAAAAGAAACCCUAGAUCUAAUUUUUCUCUUCUCUCUAUGAGGAACUAAACCCAUUUUUCUGGUUGAAGGUUAAUGAAGCUUUGAUUCAUCACUACUGUGAGAUCUUUCUUGUGCUUUAAUUGUUUUAUUACUUUUUGGGUAUUUGUUUAUUCUCUAAAUUAUUUUCAUGAUUAUGUUUGUUAAUUAGGUAAUUGGCCACUAUUUAAUUAUCAACUUAAUCUAUUGUCAAUUAAAGGAUUCAUCGUAUGAAGAAUUUGAUGUUUGUGACAAAUAACAUAGCAGAGAGUUGUGUUGUGAGAAUAAACAAUCUAAUUUAAAUGAAUCAUCAUAUGUGUUGAUUAGGAUUUGGGUCUCUCUGGUUUCUUAGGCUGUCAAUUGAUUAAAUUCUAUGAUCGUAUCUAGGGUUGUCUAUUGAUUAGGGAAAUAACCAACGGUCGUACCUUGGUUAUCGACUAGUUAAGGAGAGAUUGGCUAUUAGAGGGUCUCAGUAGCUAUAACCGAUCUAUUCAUAAGUAAUAAUAAUAAUCUAUAUUUGAAUCAAUGAUCAGUAGUCGAAUCAAGCUGAGUUAAUUCCUUCAACCAGAGCUUUCUCCAAUUUGAAUUACAACUUUAAUUUGCAUUCUUGUUUAUUUCAAUUUGAUUUUUAUUAUUGUCAACAAUUCCCCCAUUUUACGUUUUAUGUUUCAAAAGGAUUUAAAUAAUUACCGAUCUCUGUGGACACGACCCUGCUCAAUCACUAUACACAAUUUAUUUAGAGUAUGAAUUUAUUUUUGUUGGCUUCGACAUCCAUCAGACUCGUUGUUGGGCUGCCCUUCUUGUAAGUAAUCUAGUUGAUCCGACUGAAUGUGGAAGGUUGUAUCAUACACGCCCUGAAAAUCUGAAACUGAAUUACUCAAAUGAAUAUGCCUCUUCACAGCAAUUGGUUGAAACUUUACUGCAAAGACUUUUUGAAACCCUUGAAGAUGAUACUCUACCUGAUAACACAAGGAAACACAAUCAAUAUAAGAAGAUGAUUUUACGAAAAAAUGAAAGCUUGCCGUUAUUGGCAGAGCUCUACUCAAAUUUAAUGAGAUAUCUCUUAGGAGGGAGAGCUCUAAUAAUAUAUAAAGCCAAAAAUCUGAAAAUGUCUAACACUCAUCAAAUUGGCUUGUGAAGAAUUAAUCUUCCUUGCCAUCAUACAUGCCAGGUGUGGUGAACAAUCUUCAUUCUGACAUUUGCUUUAAUAAGCUGCUUAGUAUCCUUAACUUGAUAACUUACACAAACAAAAACUGUGAAAAUAGGUAGAGAAAAAGGUUAUGGAAUAAUUCUCUAUUUCAUAUCUUCAUGAGACUGUACGCAGAAUAUUACACACUGAUUUCUAGGAAGCAAUAACUUUAUAUUUACACCAAAUAUACACCUAAAUAUAUAAGGAAAACCAAAUCAAUUUGAUUGGGUCAACCUUUCAACACUCCCCCUCAAGCUGGUCUAAAAAUGUCUUUCAUGGCCAGCUUGCAAACCAAUUUCUCAAAAUGUUUCUUAGGUAGUCCCUUGGUGAAUAUAUCAGCAAUCUGCUCAUUUGUAGGAAUAUAGGGCAUGCAGACCAAACCACUGUCUAGUUUUUCUUUUAUGAAGUGUUUGUCCACUUCAACAUGUUUAGUUCGGUCGUGGAGUACUGGAUUAUGUGCUAUUGCAAUGGUAGAUUUGUUGUCACAAUAUACUUUCAUAGGUAGUGAAUUACUUGCCUUAAGUUCUUCAAGAAUUUUUUUGAUCCAAAAACCUCACAAAUUCCUAGAGCUACUGCUCUAUAUUCUGCCUCUACACUACUUUUUGCUACCACAGUUUGUUUCUUGCUGCGCCAAGUGACCAAAUUUCCUCCAACAAAGGUGCAGUAACCAGAAGUGGAUCUUCUAUCGGUUACACUACCAGCCCAGUCAGCAUCAGUGUAGACUUCUACUUGUAGGUGCCCGUUUUUUCUGAACAAAAGACCUUUACCCGGAGAUCCUUUUAAGUAUCUAAGGAUUCUAUAUACAGUUUCAAAGUGUUCUGGUCUUGGAGCAUGCAUAAACUGGCUGACUAAGCUCACUGCAAAGGCUAUGUCCGGGCGUGUAUGUGAAAGGUAGAUUAAUCUACCUACAAGGCGUUGGUACCGAUCUAUGUUGGUCACAUCUUCAAUUUUAGCUGGCUGUAAUUUCGUAUUAGGAUCUAUGGGUGUCUCGGCUGCUUUACAUCCGAGUAGACUUGUCUCUUCAAGCAAAUCAAGAACAUACUUGCGUUGAGACAUAACAAUCCCAUCUUUUGAUCUAGCAAACUCCAUGCCCAAAAAAUACUUCAGGUUGCCUAAGUCUUUGAUUUCAAAGUCACGUGCAAGCACUUUCUUUAAUCUGCAAAUCUCAACUAAGUCAUCACCAGCCAAAAUUAUAUCAUCUACAUAUACAAUUAACACGGCUAAUUUCCCUUCAAUAGAAUGUUUGUAAAACAUUGUAUCAUCUGCCUGACUUUGGGAGUAGUCGUGUCCCUUUAUAACAUUACCAAAGCGUUCAAACCAUGCUCUAGGAGACUAUUUAAGCCCAUACAAAGACUUAUGUAGUUUACACACUUUAUUGCUGCCGUGAUUUCCCUCAAAACCUGGUGGUAAAUCCAUAAAGACUUCUUCUUCUAGCUUCCCAUUCAGAAAAGCAUUUUUAACAUCUAACUGGUAUAGAUUCCAAUCAGAAUGUACAUCCAAUGAGAUAAGGACCCGGAUGGAAUUUAUCUUUGCAACGGGGACAAAGGUUUCUUGAUAAUCAAUUCCAUAGGUUUGAGUGAACCCUUUUGCUACAAGCCUUGCCUUAUAUCUCUCAACACUCCCAUCAGCAUUACAUUUAAGUGUAAACACCCACUUACAACCCACAGUUUUCUUUUCUUUUGGUAAAUCCACAAUCUCCCACGUACCAUUCUUCUUUAGAGCAUUCAUUUCCUCUAAAACUGCUAACUUCCAAUCUGGGUGGUCUAGGGCUUCUUUUAUGGUUUUAGGAAUUGGUAUCUGAGAGAUUUUUGUGGUAAAGGCUCUUUGUUUAUUGGACAACUUUUCAUAGGAAACAUAUCUAGCAAUGGGGUGCUUAGUACAGGUUUGGGUUCUUUUCCUAUGUGUUAUAGGUAAGUCAAGAUCAGGAAAAAAAGUGCUGGAAUGUUUAGGAGAAGAAAUGUUACCUGAAUUUUCUGAGGAAUCAGUGCUUGGAGGCGACGAUUGAGGCUGUACCAAGUUUAUGAGAGGGUCUUUACUGCUGUGAUGAUACUUUCGAGUAUAAACACGAAGCUCUGGUGGUGGAAUUUUAUCUUGUAGUAUUUCUCCCCCUGUCUCGGGUACAUUAACACUUGGUUCCUGUAGUUCAAGGUUUCCUAGGUUUUCAUUAUUAGAAAUAUCAGUUUUUUGAGUUUGAGUUGAAGUGCCCAGAUCAGGUAAAAACAUAUUAGGCAUAGGUGUAGAAGUAUGCCAAAAAUGAUCUUCACUAUUUUCUUUCUCCCCCUGAAGAGAAUUUGGGCCAAAAAAAGGUUGAUUUUCAAGAAAUAUAACAUCCAUACUGACAUGGAAUUUCUUUGUUUAAGGAUUGAAACAUUUGUAACCUUUUUUAUUAGGAGCAUAGCCCAAGAAAACACAUUUUUCAGAUCUAGGAUCCAAUUUAGAUCUAAGAUGGUUAGGAACAUGAACAAAUACAGUGCACCCAAAGACUUUUAACUGAAUAUUGGAGGUAAUCCUACUAGAAGGAUAUAUAAGUGUGAAGUAUUCUAAAGGUGAUUGAUACUUUAAAACACGGGUAGGCAUCCUAUUAAUCAAAUAACAUGCUGUUAAAACAACAUCACCCCACAAAUAUUUAGGAACAUGCAUAGAGAGCAUGAUAGCCUGACUAACUUCAAGUAAAUGGCGGUUUUUUCGUUCCGCAAUUCCAUUUUGUUGUGGAGUAUCACGACAAGUGGAUGUGUGAAUUAUACCCUUUUCCUUACAAAACACCUCUAGAUAAUUAUUAAAAUAUUCAGUACCAUUAUCUGUAUAGAGUAGGCUUAUUUUUGUUUGAAAUUGAUUUUCAACCAUGUUAUAAAAAUCUUUGAAUAACCCCUCAACUUCAGAUUUUUCUCUCAUUAAAUAAACCCAACAAAGCCGAGUAUGAUCAUCUAUGAAUGUUACAAACCAUUUUUUUUCCAAUUAAAGUGUUGAUUUUUGAGGGUCCCCAAACAUCACUAUGAAUUAAAUAAAAAGGUUUUGAGGCACGAUAAGUAAGUGCUUUAUAUGAAACUCGAUGACUUUUAGAUAAAAAACAACUUUCACACUGAAAAGUAGUACAAUCAACAUUUUUAAAUAAAUCUGGAAACAAAUAUUUCAAAUAAGGAAAGCUAGGGUGUCCUAGUCUAAGGUGCCAAAGCAUUAUUUGAUCCCUAGCAGAGUUUGAACUAAUACUACUGCUCAAACCUUGAGCUUGUUUAUUCAUUGAUAAGUAGUCAUCAAAAUAGUAAAGACCUUCUCGCAAACUAGCACUGCCAAUCAUCGUCCCCAAGUCCCUGUCCUGAAAUUCACAAUAGGAGUAAAAAAAGACAGCACAACAAUUAAAAUCUUUGGUUAAUUUACUGCCAGAUAACAAAUUGCAAGAAAGUUUAGGGACAUGUAGCACAUUUUUAAGCUCAAUGGUUCCAGAGAUUUUUAUUGAUCCUUUUCCAGCUAUGGAAGAUAAGCUUCCAUCAGCAACUCUUACCUUUUUGUUACCAGGGCAAGGAUAAUAGGAAUCAAAUAAACUAGAAAUGCUAGUCAUAUGAUCAGAAGCACCCAAAUCAAUAAUCCAUGGUGCAGUAGUUGAGUGGCUAAAUAGAGCAUUAAUAAUACUACCUGUUUGGGCUAGUGAACCACUAGGAGUACUAGGUGGAGGAUUAGAAGUGAGCAACUUUAUGAGAUGGUCAAUUUGCUCCUUGCUGAGAUUUUUUUCUAGAUUCUCCACUUCAUUGGCAGACGCACGGCUAUGCUUGCUGUUUUUCCAGUUUGCAGGCUUUUCGUGGAGUUUCCAGCAAGCCUCCCGAGUAUAGCGUGGUUUAUUACAGUAAUCACACCAUACUCGAGGUUUUUGUUGCUGUUGAGUGAUGGAGCGGGUAGCAUUAGCAUCUGCUGUAACAAGGGCAGAUUUUUCCACAGAGACAACGGAGUUCGUUUUUCCCAACAUAACACCUCGACGACUUUCUUCUCUCCUUACUUCAGAGAAAACAUCCUCAAGAGUAGGAAGUGGCUUUCUCCCAAUAAUUCUUCCUCUUACCUCAUCAAAUUCAACAUUGAGCCCAGCCAGGAACUUGAAGAUUCGCUCAUUAUUGACAAUUUGUUUGUGGUGUUUAAAAUCUUCCAUUCUCUCCCACUCGUAGUCAUUGAAUAAGUCCAGAUCUUGCCACAAUCUCUUUAGAGUAUUGAAGUAUUUUGUUAUACUAUAAUCUCCUUGACGAAUAUCUCUAAGAGCAAGCUGCAACUCAUAGAUCUGGGACUAAUUUCCAUAGUCAGAGUACAUCUGACUCACAUUAUCCCAGUGUUCUUUUGCAGUAGAGUAGCACAUAUAAUUUGCACUAAUGUCUUCAUCCAUGGAGUUGACUAACCACGCCAUAAUCAUGGAGUUUUCGGCAUCCCAAACACCAUAAGAGGGAUCAGAUAUUUCAGGAGCCUUAACAUCUCCGGUAAGAUAACCAAUCUUCCCUCUUCCCCUAAUAUACAUUCUAACCGACUGAGACCAUCUUUGAAAAUUUCCUUCAUUCAGCUGGAUAGUUGUAAUCUGGACAGAAAGAGAUUCAGAAUGGGAAAUUUUUUGUUCUAGUCUUUUUGAGGUGACUGUGGUUUCAGAAGAUUGGUCAGACAUGGUAGGGAAGAGAUUAGAAAGAAAGGGAGCCUAACUCUGAUACCAUGUGAAAAUAGGUAGAGGAAAAGGUUAUGGAAUAAUUCUCUAUUUCAUAUCUUCAUGAGACUGUACACAGUCUUAAUAUAGGGAUACAAGAGACUAAGAAAGGAAAGAAAAAAUUAAAGCAGAAUAUUACACACUGAUUUCUAGGAAGCAAUAACUCUAUAUUUACACCAAAUAUACACCUAAAUAUAUAAGGAAAACCAAAUCAAUUUGAUUGGGUCAACCUUUCAACAAAAGCAACUUUACUAAAGUUUAUUCCUUAAAGGCAAAAUAGUAAAGAAGAUGAUAUAUGCUGAUACAAUAAAUUGACCUGAGUUAUCCUGAUGUCAAGAAUCACAGCACCUCAUGUGGGCAAAAUCAUCGCAAUACAAGAUGCUGAAUUCAAGCAACAUCUUAUCACCUGUAAUUUAAUUAAGACAAUAACUUUCCUCAACUAUUACCCUUCUCAAUUUCAAUGUAUUAUUGGCAACUAAAUUCAUAGGGGACGUAGCUAAUUAAAUGCCCUUUUAACAAUAUCUUCCCCACCUAACAAUUAUUUGGAAAAUCUAAAUGAGAAUCAUGCAUUGAUGGCAUAAAAAAUUGGCCACAAAGCUGCCUAGAAAAAGGCUUUAAAUUCUUAAUGAGACAACGAAUUCGAACAAAUAUGGUGAAUGAAGAGACAAAGGCAUAACACCUCAAGAAGCAAAGCUCUGUUUCUGUAUGUGCUGAAACCAUUGGAAACCCAUGGAAAUGAAUUUCUACGAAUUAGACAUGUCAGCCAAAACAGGUGCUCUGUACGAGCAAAGUAAAAGAGAGUUACAAAAAAUUUUAAGAUAAUUAAACUUUUAAUCACCAUAUAAUUAAUAGAAAACUUUGUACACAAUGAUUUAUUGGAGAUUAAGAUUGUAUACCUAAGUUUUAAUUUCAAACUAAAUAUGCACAACAUGACAUUAGCAUUAGAAGACCGCACCAAAACGUACCGAAUUGAAUGUACCUCUUCGCGGCCAUUGUACAAGCAUUGAAACUUUACCGCAAAAGCUGUUUCAAACGUGAUGCACCUUAGAGAUGCAAGAUAAGAAAUUGUUAUUACAACUAGCAUUGAAACAUGUGUGGAACUGUUAAUGGACCUAAAUAACCUGAAAAUCAGAAAAGAUUAGGAAUGAGUGACUAAGCCUGCUAAUCGCAACUAAACAUACAAACCUUGAAAAUCCAAAAUUGUACUCGAUGAAUGUGCAAUUGCUCGAGCAGGUAACUGUGCAAUUGCUCGAGCAGGUAACUUUACUACAAAGGCUCUUACAAACCCUCAAAGAUGAUAAUCUACAUACCAUGGUAACCUGAAUAAUAAAAAGAAACACAGUGAAUAUUAAAGGGCAUUCUGACAAUGCAAAUUUGUGCAAAUUAACAACUGCGGUUACUUGUAUAAUAGUGUCGAUACCGAAUUCCUUCCUCCAUGGAAGCAUAUGAUCACCCCACAUGUGCUUUGCUCUGUAGCUUUUGAGUACCUGAAAUUGUUAUUACAACCAACCGUGAAAAUUGGGUGAAAAAAUGGUAAUAUUAGCAUAAUUGAAUUUGCUUAUAGAGGAUAAACCGAUCAAAGGAAAAAACAAGAUAGAAAUGAUGAUCUUAGUACCUUAAUAUCAUGUAAUAAUAAUCACCAUGCCUUCCAGGCAGCUAUCCAUCCUCAAUUGAAACAGAGCAGACCUGGCCAUCACUUUCUUCUUCAAAGUCCAGCAACUGAACGUUGCACACAACACCACAGUGGAAGUAGUUCCAACACCAGCCUAAUCCUUGAUUACCCCAAUGUUCUCCAUAGGGUCUUCAAAGUCAACCUAAAAAUAAAAAUGAAAAUGCAAUGCAUUAUUAUUAAGGAUCUAGUGCUUGAGCUUGCUUUGAUAUCAUGGUAUUAGCAAAUUCUGAUAUAGCCAAAAUGGUGAAUAAGAUGAUGUACUUGAUGAGAAAAACUUGAUUUAACAAAUAAUUAAGGAGCCGGUAACAAUCACAGAAUCUCAUCAUGUGGGGAACGCCUUGGCAACAGAAGAUGGUGCUUUCAUACAAGCAAUAGCAACUUUCCAAUUUCAUAAGGUAGUUUAAUGGCACUUUUAAGAACAUUUGUACCAGCCUAACAAUUAUUCAUGGAAAUUAAAAUUCAGAAUCAUGUUAGACUGAGAGAUGAAAUAUAAUAAGCGAUUUGGCCACCAUAUAUGCAUUUAUCACCUUCAAUUUGCUCAUCUUUGUCUAGUGUAUUGCUUCUGCAUUAACUUAAUUAGCUUGCAAGCCACCUUAAAAUGGUUUUAAAUAAAGUGUAAGAGCUCAAAUUCGAACGAAUUAAUCAAAUAUGCUGACAGGAGAAACAAAAGUAAAAUAACCACAAGAAGUAUAAAUAUACUUUUGUUAUAUUCGGAGCAUCUUCUAGCGUCAAGUUCUUUUCCUUUAGCUCUGUUUCUGUUUGUGCUCAAACGCAAUGGCUAAAGGGUCAAGAUAAUUUUAUGACCAUCAAUCUUUUUGCAGCCACAUGCAGACUUGAAAAACUGGUCGUGGCCCUAAGGAACUUGAAAAUUAGAAAAGAUUCAGAAUGAGUGACUAAAUAUUAUAAUCGAAACUAAUUAAACAUACACGCCUAGAAAAUCUGAAACUGAAUUCCUCAAAUGUAUAUGCCUCUUCGCAGCAAUUGCUUGUGGUGGAAACUUUACUGCAAAGACUUUCUCAAACCCUUGAAGAUCACACUCUACCUGAUAACAAAGAAACAGAGUCAAUAUACGAAGAUGAUUUUACUAACAAGUGAGAGCUUACACAUGUUGGAAGGAUAAUGAUUACUCAUAACCCAAAUCCCCAAUACUCCCUAAUAUCUCACUCAAGUGAGUUCGAGCUCCCAGAAUUCACUACUGUGAAACUCUCACAACAAAAUUCUCUUCAAAGAUUCUCUACUCAAAUUUGAUGAUGAUAUCUCUCGAAGGAAGGCAAAAGAAUCUAACACUGAUAAAAUUGGCUUGUGAAGAAUUAAUCUUCCUCGCCAUCAUUCAUACCAGGUGCGGUAACAAUCUUCAUUCUGACAUUUGCCUUAAUAAGCUGCUUUGUAACCUUAACCUGAUAACUCACACAAACAAAAACAACUUGCCUAAAGUUUAAUAUUUAGAGCAGAACAGUAAAGAAGAUGAUAUAUAUGAUACAAAAAUUUCACCUGUGUUACCCUGAUGUCAAGAAUCAUAGCAUCUCAUGUGGGCAAAAUCUUCGCAACACGAGAUGCUUGCAAAAUUGGAGCAGCAUCUUAUCACCUGUAAUUUAAUUGAGAGAAUAACUUUCCCCAACCAUUUCAAUGCAUUAUUGGCAACUAAAUUCAGAGGGUGCUAAUUAAAUACCCUUUUAAAAAUAUCUUCUUAUUCUUCUUCAAUCUAACAAUUAUUUGGAAAAUCUAAAUGACAAUCAUGCAUUGAUGGCAUCAAUAUUUGGCUACAAAGCAGCCUGGAAAGGGCUUUACUCUCUGAAUGAGAGCAUGAAUUCGAAACAAAUAUGAUGAAUGAAAAAACAAAGGCAUAAUACCACAAAAAGUAAAACUUUUUCCCAGGGCUCUCUGUUUCUGUUUGAGCUAAAACCAAUGGAAACCGAUGGAAAUGAAUUUCUAUGAAUUAGACAUAUCAGCCAAAACAGGUAUUCUGUACAAGCAAAGUAAAAUAGGGUUACAAAAAAUUUUAAGAUUGAUAUGAUAAUUAAAAUUGUAAUUAAAAUUUCAGUCACCAUAUAAUUAAUAGAAAACUUUGGACACAAUGAUUUAUUGCAUAUUAAGAUUGCUAUACAAAAUAUAAUAUUAGCAUUACGAGACCGCACCAAAGCAUACCGAAUUGAAUGUGCCUUUUCACAGCCAUUUUACAAGCUUUGAAGCUUUACCACAAAUGCUUUUUCCAACCCGUGAACAUGAUGCACCCGGGAGAUGCAAGCUACGAAAUUGGUACUACAGCAAGCGUUGGAACAUUUGUUAAAAAUGGAAGUUUAAGAAAAUAUGCCAUUGGAUACCUGUCUUCAGGAAUCAAUUCAUCCGUAAUAAUAAUUUUCAAGAAGUAUCAACUGCUUUAAGCUCAUCGACAUCACAGAGAUCUUCAACUAAAAUAGAGCAGAUCCGGCCAUCACUAUCCCUUCUACUGCUCUUUUCCUUUAGAGAAUGCUUGAAUUACAGAAUGCGUGUAAGGCAUUCUUCUUCAAGGUCCAAUGAUCAAACUGUUGGGGAAAAUUAGUUUUUUAAAUUUUUUAUAAAACCUUUUGAAGAUCGCUCUCAUAUAAUAUAUAAGAAUUUGUAUUCUAGAAAUCGUACCUUGAAAAUCCGAGUUGGCUUUUUCCGCUGAAGUGAUUUAGGCUCCUAGAUCAUGAUCCGCCACCACCACUCCUGUUAGAUCACGAUCCAUCACCACCACGCUUGUUAGAUCACGAACUGUCACCACCACGCUUGUUAGAUCACGAACUGUCACCAAUGAUCUUCCAGGUUAUGACUCAGGUUCGAUCUGCACUUGACGUGUGGGCGCCUUUAUCACUACCAAAGCAACUAGCACGAGAAAAAAAUUUUCUCAACAAUAGAGAGAAAAAAAUUUUCUCAACGAUCUUAUUCUCAGAUCUGUAUAAAGUGGCUUCACUCUUUUCUUUAGAGAAAAUAAGUCUUUUAUAUCACCCUUUAGUGAAAACCCUAGGCUCCAAAUAAUCAAAAAACAAAACCCACGUUAUUUGCUUUUUCAAUAGGGGACCCACCUUGUAAAAUAACAUAAGGCCCCUUACACAAAAGCUAAUUAAAUGGAGCCUCCCACUAAAUGAUAUAUUUAGGCUUUUGACCCAAAUAGCUAGUUAUCUUACUUAUUAGUCCAGUAGUGGUGCAGUCAAUUAAAUGAGCUAACCCGGGGAUCAUUUGGGAACAUACAAUAGUGGCUACAAUAAUUAGGCCUAUAAUUAAACUAGCCCAAUUAUUUAAUUCCAAAUCUACUCCACUAAAAGAUUGGAAUUGACUUCCAUUUUUGUAUGCUCGAAUAAUAAUUCGUCCCAAGCCACAUUGAUUUCUUUAUUGCACAAUCAUUUGUACCACAUCGUUAAUUAAAUUGAUAUCUCAACUGUCCAAUCAAUUUAAUAACAUCUUAUUCCUUGAUACUUACUGGUUUUCUCUAAUGAUCAUUUUCAACAUACUAAAUAUGUUGACACACUCUGGCCAGAGAAUUCUAUGAUCAAGUGCCGAAAACCCAUCAAGAGAUGUGUUGUACAAAUUCUAUAUUGUUAAUCUAUAACUCCAAUACUCAUAAAUGCUCCCACCAAGAUACCGGGUAAUCUAGACUACAAGUAUGUGUCAUGCCCAUUGGUAACUCAAAUGGAAUAACAAUUACAAUCAUGAAAUCAUAAUUAACUCAAGAUUAAGAUUACAGUAAAAUCAAUGCCUAUGAGAUUUAAUAAGUCUGACAGUUAUUACAAAGUUAAUUAAAUCUCAUAUGUGAUCCUGUUCAAUGUAGUCGUACUACAUCAAUAAAUUCAUAUAUGAUUAAGACAAAUCAUUUAAUGAAUUUAUUACAGUCUAUACCUAAAUAAAGUGCCCAACUUUAUUUAUCAACUGCGAACAAAAUUUAUUUAAUCAUAAGAUAACUUGUAUUUAUGUCUUCUGUGAAUCCACAUGGUGAUCACAUAAAUACAUAUAAUAUGAUUAAAUGGACUUUAAUAAAAAUAUUAAUGCAAUUAAGAUAUUUGAAUAAAAUACCUCAUUAAUUUUAUUAAUCAGAAAAAAUAUUUAUUACAAUUAAAUAAACACAUAUGCUUUUAAAGAGCAUAUUUUCCCAACACAAACCUUUCACAAUAAAAACAGAGGUAGUAGUUCCUUCGCCAGCCUAAUCCUUGGUCUCAGGAAUGUCCUCAACAGAGUUCUCGAAAUCAAGCUAAAAAUUAAGAAUGAGUUGGAAAACUGUUUAUGGCCCUAAAGAACUUGAAAAUCAGAAAAGAUUAAGAAUGAGUGACUAAACAUUUUGAUCGCAACUAAACAUACAAACCUUGAAAAUCUAAUUUUGAAGUACUCUUAAAUGAAUGAGCAAUUGCAGGAGCUGGUGACAACUAAGGUUACUGUGAAGUGUCUUACAAAUCCUUAAAGAUGAUACUUUACAUACCACGAUAACCUGAUAACACAUAGGAACACAAGGAACAUUAAAGUGUAUUCUGACAAUGCAAAUUUGUGGAAAUUAUCAGCUGUGGUUACCUAGACAAUAUUGCCAACACCAAACUCCUUCCUCAAUUGAAACAUAUGAUCAGCCCACAAAUGCUUUGCUUUGUAGCUUUUGAGAGCCUGAAAUUGUUUUCACAACCAACAAUGAAAAUUGGGUGAAAAUUUUGAUAAUAUUAGCAUAAUUCCAUAUGUUUAUAUAGGAUAAACCGAUCAAAGAAUGAAACAAGAUAGAAAUGAUGAUCUUAGCACCUUAACAUCAUGCAAUAAUAAUCAUCAUGUCUUUCAGGCAGCUAUCCAUCCUCAAUUGAAACAGAGCGGACCCGCCCAUCACUUCCUUCUUCAAAGUCCAGCAACCAAACGUUGCACAAUAACCACAGUGAUAAUCCUUGGUUACCCCAAUGUUCUCCGUAGAGUCUUCAAAGUCAACCUAAAAAUGAAAUAAAAAUGCAAUGCAGAUGGAAAUUGAAAAUUCUAUAAAUUAAAUAAAAUAAAAAUGCAAUGCUUUAGCAUCAUCAUAAUAGUAAAUUUUUAUAUACCUUUACUUCUCUGUUCUUGUUUAUACACAACAAGAUAUCAAUAGAAGAAGAUGGAAAUGAAAUUCUAUAAAAUAAAGCAAGUGAAUUACCAGCAGAACAUUUUAGCAAUCCUUUGGCUAAACUUUUCAUUUUCAUAGUUUUGCUCUCCUGCCUGCAUCAUUAGAACCAAAUUAGCUUGGACCUGCGAAUUGCUAGUGUAGUUCUGACAUUUCCUCGAAUCCCUGGUGAACAUAAUUACACUCGUAUGAAAUAAAACAAAGUGGGCUAAUGUACUACCAAAAACAAUUAUACAAUUACUUUAAAGAAUUAAUGUCACAUAAAUUAUAUAUAUAAAAAAAAUAUGAUUAUCAUUAUACAAGAUAAAAUUGAUAAUUUAGUUUUCAACAUUACUGCAAAUGUAUCACAGAGAUUUUGUCUCUCAAGAAGUUACACAUAACAAAUUUUCGUACAUUAAAAAAUAAAUUACAUUGGGAUUUUCUAUGAUGUUGUAUGAAAUUUUACAAAAGACUGCAUAUUUUUUAGAAGAAAAUAUAAAAAUUUCAAUAGACUAUACUUUUUUUUUAAUUAUUAUUAUAUAACCUUGAUAAUACAAGUUUAAUAGAUUUGAUAACUAGGAAGUUUAAAUUUUAAAUAACUGAAAUUAAAAUAUUAUCUUAAUUAACUUUUGACUUUAUGAAUUAUUGAUUAACUCUAACAGUACAUAUAUAUACCAUGAUUGAUUUUAUAAUUUUUAUAACAGCAUCAUAGAGUGACCCAUUAAAUUAAUGGUUGAAGUAAACAAAAUUCAAUAUGCAAAUCAAAAUAUUAGAAAAAUAUUAUAUAUUCCUGUCAGACAUUGGCAAUAUAUAGAAUUUUAAUUCAAAAUAUAAUUAUUUUUAUUACCGGCGAGUGAUAUCUUACGCCGACAGAAUGAUGUGGGGAAUGUGAGAUAUUUUAUGCCACUUUUCUCCUUUCCCCUCUCUAUAAUGGUUUUCCAGAAGAGGACAUCUGUCAAUAGUCAAUUCCUGCAGCGUCGACGUUCGAAGGAGGUAAUCCGACAGCACCUUUAAUUUGGGGCAAUACCAAAUUCGUAAGGAAGAAAGAUGUGGUCCUGCGAUCUUCUAGAAUGGGCAGUUCUUCUAGAAGAUCACAAGAAUAAAUACUUAGUUCCUACAAAAUUUAACUUUAAGCGACGGACUUUGUCACCAAAAGAAUUUAUGACUGAUUCCUUAGUACCAUUAAUUUCUAGCCACAGGCAUUCUUUGCUACUUACAAACUGAGCAAAAUCAUGUACUAUGUCAUGCAUCUUGAAACUCAUAAUAUUUCUUAAACUCUUGAAAGAAAGAGCGUGCUGCUAAAAUGUUGAAAUACUCUUCUCCAAUCAUCUCCAUUUCUUCGUCUUCUUCUGCAUUAAGGUAAUCUUGAGCCAUCCACAGAUUAAUCAAUUCCUCUUUAUCCAUAUUGCAGUCUUUUGGAAAGACAGUACAAUAUGAGAAACACCGUUUUACCAUAGAAUUGGAGGGUAAAUCGUUAUAACUCAACAACAAAGGAGUCAAAAGACCUUGCCCAAUCUCUUGUACUUUCCACAUUUCACUCCCUAAAAUUCUUUGUCACUCUUUUACUGUACUUUUAGACCGCAAGAGAUUCCCUAUUACCUUUGCAGCAACAGGCAAGCCUUUGCACUUGUGUGCAAUUUUUCGCCCCAUUGGUUCUAAUUUUUCACGAUCCUCAAAAGAACGACCGAAAAAUGCUAAC